GCCCCCGUAGCUCAGUUGGAUAGAGCAAGCGUUUCCUAAACGCUAGGUCGCGUGUUCGAAUCACGCCGGGGGCA
rnacentral:tRNA from 1 species